rnacentral:rRNA from 1 species
CCUACGGGAGGCAGCAGUGGGGAAUUUUGGACAAUGGGCGCAAGCCUGAUCCAGCAAUGCCGCGUGAGUGAAGAAGGCCUUCGGGUUGUAAAGCUCUUUUGUCAGGGAAGAAACGGCCGAGGCUAAUACCUUUGGCUAAUGACGGUACCUGAAGAAUAAGCACCGGCUAACUACGUGCCAGCAGCCGCGGUAAUACGUAGGGUGCAAGCGUUAAUCGGAAUUACUGGGCGUAAAGCGUGCGCAGGCGGUUUUGUAAGUCUGACGUGAAAUCCCCGGGCUCAACCUGGGAAUUGCGCUGGAGACUGCAAGGCUGGAGUCUGGCAGAGGGGGGUAGAAUUCCACGUGUAGCAGUGAAAUGCGUAGAGAUGUGGAGGAACACCGAUGGCGAAGGCAGCCCCCUGGGUCAAGACUGACGCUCAUGCACGAAAGCGUGGGGAGCAAACAGGAUUAGAUACCCUGGUAGUCCACGCCCUAAACGAUGUCUACUAGUUGUCGGGUCUUAAUUGACUUGGUAACGCAGCUAACGCGUGAAGUAGACCGCCUGGGGAGUACGGUCGCAAGAUUAAAACGUCAAAGGAAUUGACGG